AUUGAACGCUGGCGGCAUGCCUUACACAUGCAAGUCGAACGGCAGCACGGGAGCAAUCCUGGUGGCGAGUGGCGAACGGGUGAGUAAUAUAUCGGAACGUGCCCAGUCGUGGGGGAUAACGUAGCGAAAGCUACGCUAAUACCGCAUACGAUCGAUGGAUGAAAGCGGGGGAUCGCAAGACCUCGCGCGAUUGAAGCGGCCGAUAUCAGAUUAGGUAGUUGGUGAGGUAAAGGCUCACCAAGCCGACGAUCUGUAGCUGGUCUGAGAGGACGACCAGCCACACUGGGACUGAGACACGGCCCAGACUCCUACGGGAGGCAGCAGUGGGGAAUUUUGGACAAUGGGCGCAAGCCUGAUCCAGCAAUGCCGCGUGCAGGAUGAAGGCCUUCGGGUUGUAAACUGCUUUUGUACGGAACGAAACGGCGAGCUCUAAUACAGUUUGCUAAUGACGGUACCGUAAGAAUAAGCACCGGCUAACUACGUGCCAGCAGCCGCCGUAA
rnacentral:rRNA from 1 species